rnacentral:misc_RNA from 1 species
GAAAUGCGAUAAGUAGUGUGAAUUGCAUAAUUCAGUGAAUCAUCGAAUCUUUGAACGCACAUUGCGCCCUUUGGUAUUCCAAAGGGCAUGCCUGUUCGAGCGUCAUUUGUACCCUCAAGCUUUGCUUGGUGUUGGGCGUCUUGUCUCUAGCUUUGCUGGAGACUCGCCUUAAAGUAAUUGGCAGCCGGCCUACUGGUUUCGGAGCGCAGCACAAGUCGCACUCUCUAUCAGCAAAGGUCUAGCAUCCAUUAAGCCUUUUUUUCAACUUUUGACCUCGGAUCAGGUAGGGAUACCCGCUGAACUUAAGC